UUUAAUGCACGCAUCUCAAUGAGAAAACCCUAUAGUUAGAUAUGCAUUCAGUAACAUAAUACCUGUAAAAGGAAUUGAAUGUGCACAGUGCUGUGAUGGAUAUGUAUGCAAACAAAUAAUAAAUAAACAAUUCAUUCUCAAGGGUAACAAACAUAUCAAAGAUGCAGGCGCACAAGCAGCAUCAACAACAACAACUCAGUAUAAUCUUAUUUAGUGGGUUUAGGGAUGGUAGUGUGUACGCAGACCUUACAUCUACCCUUGGAUAGAGAGGCUAUUUCCAAAUAGACCCUCGGCAUCCUUCCCUUCAAAAACUUGCCACCUUGCUAUUGGGAAGACUCGAACUCACAACCUCUCGGUUGGAAGUGGGGGUUGCUUACCGUCAGAGCAACCCCUCUUGUCUAAAGUACCCCCUACUCUUGAUAUAAGUUAUUCUGAAAUUAGAAAUAGUACAUAGAUAACUUAUACCAGCCAGAAUAUGAAAUAAUAAUCUAAUGAUAAUUAAGUUAUCCCUGCAUGUAUAUGGUUCAUCCUUUACUUUGAAUGUUGCAGAUUUUAACUAAUUAUGAAAUAAAAAUGUCUAAUGAGUUACAGGAGUAACGCCUUAUGAACAAUUUGCACAUAGUUCACCAGUUCAAGAGUAUGAAAGAAACUUGAACAUCCAAUCCAAAGAGUCAAGGCUAUCGGUAACCAUAUAAAACCCUUUUAGAUGAUUUAUAUACCUAAUGCGAGACAUUACAAAAUCCAAUACCCCAUCACACAUAACCAGAGUUUGGGUUCACACGUGAAAUUUCAAAUCAAGGCGAUAGCCAGAUUACCACCGUAAUCAACUCACGUGUAUAUAUCCUCACUAUUUCUUCAAGUACAUGUUACAGAAUUUGGUAACGCAUUGCUAGUGCUUUGAGUCUCCAACCCAGGGUCACCAAGUAAAGAAGUGGGUCUUGAGCAGCCUGCUAAACCAGCAGAACAAUGGGUCAUUUGUUUUUUUAGGGGGCACAAUU
rnacentral:lncRNA from 1 species